AUUGAACGCUGGCGGCAGGCCUAACACAUGCAAGUCGAACGCGUGGCGGACGGGUGAGUAAUGUCUGGGAAACUGCCUGAUGGAGGGGGAUAAAUAAUGGAAACGGUAGCUCAUACCGCAUACCAUCAGAUGUGCCCAGAUGGGAUUAGAUUGUUGGUGGGGUAACGGCUCACCAAGGCGACGAUCCCUAGCUGGUCUGAGAGGAUGACCAGCCACACGGGAACUGAGACACGGUACAGACUCCUACGUGAGGCAGCAGUGGGGAAUAUUGCACAAUGGGCGCAAGCCUGAUGCAUCCAUGCCGCGGGUAUGAAGAAGGCCUUCGGGUUGUAAAGUACUUUCAGCGGGGAGGCGUUACCCGCAGAAGAAGCACCGGCUAACGCCGUGCCAGAAGCCGCGGUAAUAC
rnacentral:rRNA from 1 species